AUAAAGAAGAUCCAACAAAACACUGCGUUCUGUUUUCACGUUUUGGUUAUUCUGAAAAAUGGGCGUGAUUACUCCUAUUGAGACUCUGUUAUUAAAGUCUCAACAUCGUCUUCUUCAACCUCUAGAUCAUUCCUACCCCGUGGUUUUUCACAACCAUCGAAGAGUAACAAAUUUCCAGCGCAACAGCUUUUCACCUUUUUGUCUAGGUUUUUUCUUUCUCCUUUGUUUAAACAUUAUUUAAAAUCUUUUUUUUUUAAUGAAAAGUGGUCAUUUUUAGAUGUGUAUAAGUCUUCAGUUCUUGUUUUUGAUGAGAUUAAUUCUUGUGCAGGAUCAUCAUCUGUAGAUUUUCCAUUACGCAGUGGUCCGAUUACGCAAAGUAAGUACAUAUAUUAUAGGAAGAAUUCUGUAUUUGUUUUCUUUUGGAGUGAAGCAAUUUAAUUUUUGAAUGUGUUUAAUUUUGGUUUUUGCCUUGUUCUACAAUCCAAAGAUGAUAGGUCGAGUUAUCCUUGGCGGAGAAAUGUCUCAGAAUCUGACACAAAUGAGGUAAAGUACAAUCAGCAAGAUCCUGGUCUUUUUUGCUUCCUUGGCAAGUAAUAGUUGUGUUUGGUUUCAGAUCUAUAAUAAGCAAGUUUCUAUAAUGGAAACAUUAAAGCAAGCCAACUCUUUUAUUCCUCAUGUGAUUCUCUCAAGUACAAUUUUAGCUCUUCUCCAUCCACCUUCUUUCACAUGGUUCAAGCCAAGGUUCGAAUGAUCAACCUUAAUUAAUUACAACUUUAUUAGCCAUUAUAAUCUCUAAUUACUAUUUAUAUCCUUCGUUAGGUACUUUGUGCCUGGCCUAGGGUUCAUGAUGUUUGCUGUUGGAAUCAACUCUAAUGAACGAGACUUCCUUGAAGCUCUUAAAAGACCAGACGCUAUUUUCGCUGGUUACAUCGGACAGUACUUGAUAAAACCUCUUUUAGGUUACAUGUUCGGUGUAAUCGCUGUCUCUCUUUUCAAUCUACCGACUCCUAUAGGGGCUGGAAUCAUGUUGGUCUCAUGUGUUAGUGGAGCUCAGCUAUCGAACUACACAACUUUCUUGACAGAUCCUUCGCUCGCGCCGCUUAGUAUUGUCAUGACAUCGAUCUCAACCGCUACAGCCGCCCUGGUGACACCCAUGCUUUCUCUCUUACUCAUUGGUAAAAAGCUUCCCGUUGACGUUAUUGGGAUGAUCUCUAGCAUUCUCCAAGUUGUUGUUACACCCAGAGCCGGUCCUAGUUAUUAUAUGGCUAGAAGCCAAUUUAAAAAAUGUGGCUGAAGUCCCUCGAACCCGCAACCUGUAACAGGUUACAACAACCACCCAACCGCUGGGCUACUAAGAACUUUCUGUUCAAAUGUGGCCGUUUAGGAUGAUAAUAUUUGGUGGCUGGAAGCACAAGCUUCAUUGGCUUCCCUCCAAGACCGGCUCUGGUUACACCUAUUGCCGCAGGACUACUUCUAAACCGGUAAGUACAUUACAUAUGGGUCGGAUCAAUACAUAGCCUCAGUGAUUUUUGUAAAACCAAAAGUCAUAUUGAUGAAUUUAGAUAAGAUCAGUUUAUCCUGAUUAAAUACACUCAACGUACUUAAUGGCUAUUGAAAAACUAAAGUUACAUGAGAAGUGUGACCGCAGGUUAUUGCCAAGGUUGUCUAAUGCAAUCAAACCAUUUCUCCCGGGGUUAACGCUAAUCGAUAUGGCUUGUUGCAUCGGAGCACCCCUCGCUUUGAACAUAGAUUCAAUCUUGUCUCCGUUCGGCGCAACCAUUUUAUUCCUAUAAUGUUUAUAAGCACCAAAAUAAAUUAAACUAUUUUGCAUUUGCAAUAUGUAACACAACAUCAUACUUUUUUUCAUGUCAAUAUAAAAUAUAUCUCUAACAAAAAAUAAUCUGCGCAAGUGCGCGGGUAAUAACUCUAGUUUGUUUUAAAACUCUGUCGCUUGCGUGAAGAAGGGCGAUACUGCUGUGUCGACUAAUCCUAUGAAAUUUUUUCUUGAUGUGUUGUUAGCUCAAAAAUGAAAAUUGUCCAAUCAAAACCAAAAUUUGAAAGAAAAUAGGUAAAUACGACCACUGCUUUUGAGACUAUAGGUUGGUGUGGCAUUCGCACGUGCGUAUCAUCAAGAUAUAAAUAAGUUACACGCCUAGAGUAUAAUGAAACGUGUGUUGUUAUAUAGGUUGGUAAUUUGGUACUUGGUGCUUAUAACGCUAAAUGUAACAUAUAUAAAGAAGAUCCAACAAAACACUGCGUUCUGUUUUCACGUUUUGGUUAUUCUGAAAAAUGGGCGUGAUUACUCCUAUUGAGACUCUGUUAUUAAAGUCUCAACAUCGUCUUCUUCAACCUCUAGAUCAUUCCUACCCCGUGGUUUUUCACAACCAUCGAAGAGUAACAAAUUUCCAGCGCAACAGCUUUUCACCUUUUUGUCUAG
rnacentral:lncRNA from 1 species